ensembl:lncRNA
UCUUCUCCAUUCAUCAGCCAUAUUGGUGUGGUCUUCUCCAUUCAUCAGCCAUAUUGGUGAGGUCUUCUCCAUUCAUCAGCCAUAUUGGUGUGGUCUUCUCCAUUCAUCAGCCAUAUUGGUGAGGUCUUCUCCAUUCAUCAGCCAUAUUGGUGAGGUCUUCUCCAUUCAUCAGCCAUAUUGGUGAGGUCUUCUCCAUUCAUCAGCCAUAUUGGUGAGGUCUUGCACUGUAGAGAGUUUUGGAGUAUAGUAUACUUUGGGCACGGGGGACUUGAAUAUACAGAUGAAAAAAGUAUAUAAAAAUGAAAAUAUAAGUAGAUAUAAAAAUCCCAAAUGAGCACAAUAUGAAUUAAUAAGGGUGACCAAUGGAGUAUUGAAAUUGUAUUUCUUUUUUAUUGCUCUGAAAGUAUACUUUAUUUAAAUCCUUUAUUUUGUUCAAAAGAAGAUGAAAAAAGACCAAUACUGUUUGGAUGUUCUAUGGCUGUAUUCUCCCUGUGUUGGCGCUCACUGUUGCCGUGGAGCUGAUCAUACCGUUGUUUAUCGCAGUGGAGACGUCGCGUAGCAUAGUCGCUCCCUGCCCGUGUGUUCGUGUGUUGACGGCACAAAAAUGGAAAAAACAUGGAUUUGCAGAUAUAAUGUGUGUGUGUGUGUAUAUAUAUAUACAUACACACACACACAUUAUAUCUGCAAAUCCAUAUAUAUAUAUAUAUAGCUCUUUUCAGUAGGUGUCAAAAGACUUGACAUAGGUUAGCCCCAUCGCAUCCACCACCAAUGUGACCUUCUGCGGCAGAACAAAGGCAUUUCUGGGGUGAUGAUUGACUCUGUCAAAUUGUGAUAGUGUUUCUCUUGUGAUUGGAAUAGGAAUGAUUGUAUACAAUGGUAUGAACAUCGACAAACGUGUUGCAAAGGUGAUUUUGAAUUUGGGGAUUUUGAUGGGGUGGUUUAUAGCGAGUGAAAAACACUAUGUCUAAUUUCCCCCAAAUGGCUUCCUUUCUUCAUCUCCUUUCCUUGGUCAGCUCUUAUCCAACUGGAUGUAAAGGUGAACCUCUCGAAGGAGGUGGAUCUAGGAAACAAUGCUAUUUAGGACAAAUCGACAUAUACUAUACUGUAGUAGUUGGUGGGUUUGGUGGUGGUUAUGAAGUGCUCUUUGUCUCCAUCUGCUGGUGGUAUGGCUGCAUGGCUGGCUUCCAUCUCUGCUUCAGGCUGUUUUCUCUGUGGUCUUGUUGGGUUUGUUCAAUGGUCAGUAAUGUGUGGGUUUGUGCAGGGGAGAGAAGGUUUGCCCAUACAGCUCUGUGCUCUAGCUAUCUACAGCAUGUUGACUACGUUUGAGGCUUCGGCUAGCUAGCUAUUAGUGAUGUGACAGUUAAUUGUUGUCUUCUCUCAGGCAUGCUGCUAAAAUAAGAAGAAAACAAAUAAACAAAAGUUCAACUGAAGAGUUGUAACACAAGUAAAGAGUGAGAAGUGCCAUCCGAACAUGAUCCAUCCAAGCACAUAACACAUCAUAAUAAUCAAGCAGUAGAAAAUAUACAGUAUGUUGGUGUUAUUCUCUUGUUUUGCUUUUUCUAAUAAUAUUUUUGAACCUAAAUGAAAAUUGAUAACAAUAAAUAUAGUAUAUAAAAGAAAAUGAAUAUAAGCGUAAAAUAUGUCAAACUAUUUUAUCUGUGAUUGCUAAAUUAUAUGGACAGUCCUUCUGUUGGAAGGCUAACACAUCAUCUUCCCUGUGGACCAAUCCUGAUUCAGAACUCUUCAUCUGCUGGGACUUAUAACCUUCCUGAUUGGACCUAGUACAUGUCAAUAAGGCUGUGGGAUUAUACGGAGAGUAGAGUCACAGAUGUGUGUGCGCGGACGACAAACCGAUUCACCUGGUGCUACUAAGUAACUUACAAUAACAGACCCCUCUCUCCCUCUGUACAGGGGGUUGGAGUGUGUUGAUGUCUCCUCAGUCUAACAGCAUCUCUCACACAGCCCAUACCGACAUGGGGAGCACAGACACACACUGAUGUUGAUUGAUAUUCCUAUCUAAAAAGAUAGGAUUCUCUUGUCACUUCAAGCUGUGGACUUUGAGUAGCUGCGGGCGUCUCAUGAAUGUUUCAUAGAUCUGUGUUUUCUAGAUCUGCGUUUCAUAGUUCUGUGUUUUCUAGAUCUGUGAUUCUCUGUGUGUGUCUCCAGAGUGUCAGAGCAGGUGUGUUGUUGGCCCUGAUAUCAUAUGCCUAUACUCUGUCCCCAGAGGGUAUGUGUUUUGUUUACCUUUGAGACUGGGGCGGGCUCAUCUAUAGGCCACACCAUGGGGUGUGUCUUUGUAGUAGACGCUCGGGUGUAUUAAAUGUCAGACCAGGGUGGGGUUCCUGCCCGACUAGAUUCACAGACACUGCAUUGCGUCAACCAAUGGUCGCAUGCCACGUCAUCGACUGCUCAGUCAAAAAUCACAUGUUGUGGUUAACUGGUAUGUUAAACACCUAUCCAGCUGUUGUGAGGUCUGGCAUGUGUCUGCAAUGUUGUUGGGCAGGACCACCAAUACCUGUUUUUACAGCUCUCUCACCUUCCCACUCUUCGUACCUCUCUCCUUCUGAGCUGCAUCCCCGUGGUGGAUUGAGUCUGAAUGAUGUGUAAAUCAAAC